UGCAUUUAUUAGAUUGAAACCAAUGCAGCUUCGGCUGGUGUUGAGUUGAGUCAUAAUAACUAUGCGGAUCGUAUUUUCGGAUGCGAUGAAUCAAUUGAGUUUCUGCCCUAUCAGCUUUGGAUGGUAGGAUAUGGGCCUACCAUGGCAGUAACGGGUAACGGAGGAUUAGGGUUCGAUUCCGGAGAGGGGGCCUUAGAAACGGCUACCACAUCCAAGGAAGGCAGCAGGCGCGUAAAUUACCCAAUAAUCACAGAUUGAGGUAGUGACAAUAAAUAACAAUGUCGGGCUUUUCAAGUCUGACAAUUGGAAUGAGAACAAUUUAAAUCCCUUAACGAGGAUCAAUUGGAGGGCAAGUCUGGUGCCAGCAGCCGCGGUAAUUCCAGCUCCAAUAGCGUAUAUUAAAGUUGUUGCAGUUAAAAAGCUCGUAGUUGGAUUUCAAGCGUUUGGAGCGGCGGUCUCGCAAGAGCACUGCUGCACUGAUGCUUUAUUUUGUGAGAUUCCUCGCUGGCAUUAAGUUGUUGGUGGGGGUUUGUCUUGCAUCGUUUACUGUGAAAAAAUUAGAGUGUUCCACACAUG
rnacentral:rRNA from 1 species